AUGCACUUUCUUUGAACCUGUGUGGCCUUAACAAUGGCUGCUUAGGCCAAGCUAUAGUGCAAGAGCAGAAAAAGGCUUGUUUAUAACUGGGGUUUCUUGGCUUUUCUACCAAGUCUCUCUUUUAAAGGCAACCCACAAAU